GUAGAGGUCACACGGUUCAAGAGAAUUGAGCAAGCGAUUCUGAAAAAGAAAACAACCAUAACAAAUGCAUAUGGUCCUGCAAAUUGCCUCAGCCUUCCCAGCCAUUUCAAGUCAAGUCCCAUGUGUUAAAAUACCUCUUAAUCACAUUAGGGUUGAGGUUAGGGUUUCGGGGUUAGGGUUCAAGGUUAGGGGUUCAGGGUGUUAGGGCUAGGGGUUAGGGUGUUAGGGAUUGUGGUAUUAGGGUUAGGGUAGGGUGUUAGGGUUAGGGGUUAUGGUAGGAUUCGGGUUUGGGUGUUAGGGCUAGGGUGAGCGGUUAGGGUGGUAGGUUAGGGGGUCAGGAUAGAGGUUAAGGGAUUAGGGUUCGGGUUAGGAGUUUGGGGUUUGGGUUUAGGGUUUGGAAUUAGGGGUUAGAGUUUGGGGUUCGAGUUGGAGUUUGGGUGUUAGGGUUAGGUGUAUGUUGUAGGGUUAGGGGUUAG